AUUGAACGCUGGCGGCAGGCCUAACACAUGCAAGUCGAGCGGAUGAAGGGAGCUUGCUCCUGGAUUCAGCGGCGGACGGGUGAGUAAUGCCUAGGAAUCUGCCUGGUAGUGGGGGAUAACGUCCGGAAACGGGCGCUAAUACCGCAUACGUCCCGAGGGAGAAAGUGGGGGAUCUUCGGACCUCACGCUAUCAGAUGAGCCUAGGUCGGAUUAGCUAGUUGGUGGGGUAAAGGCCUACCAAGGCGACGAUCCGUAACUGGUCUGAGAGGAUGAUCAGUCACACUGGAACUGAGACACGGUCCAGACUCCUACGGGAGGCAGCAGUGGGGAAUAUUGGACAAUGGGCGAAAGCCUGAUCCAGCCAUGCCGCGUGUGUGAUGAAGGUCUUCGGAUUGUAAAGCACUUUAAGUUGGGAGGAAGGGCAGUAAGUUAAUACCUUGCUGUUUUGACGUUACCAACAGAAUAAGCACCGGCUAACUUCGUG
rnacentral:rRNA from 1 species